UACAAUCCAGUAAGGAUUCUAAUUUCUCCGCAUCUUUGGUAAUAAGUUUUGGCAAAGAUGUGGAAAAAUUGGAAUCCUCAUUGAAUUGGUUAUAACCA
rnacentral:pre_miRNA from 12 species